rnacentral:sRNA from 1 species
CGAAUUGCCAAAGAGUCCAUUAAUUUCAGUAUUCUAAACAAGCAUACACCGGACAAUCCAUCCAUACCAUUCAGCUUUACCAAUGAGACAGUAUGGAUUAAGCCAGAAGAUCAGCUGCCAUGUUACUUGACUCACACCAACCCUAGAGUGGAUGAGAUUGUCCUUAAGAACCUUCACCUUAAUAGUCAUGUUAAAGAAACGACAAGAGGACCUCGAUACUGUCCCUCCAUUGAAUCAAAAGUUCUGCGUUUUCCAAACCGUCUACAUCAGGUUUGGUUGGAACCUGAAGGAAUGGAUUCUGACCUUAUCUACCCACAGGGGUUAUCUAUGACGCUACCAGCUGAGUUACAAGAGAAAAUGAUCACAUGCAUCAGAGGCUUGGAGAAAGCUAAAGUGAUUCAGCCAGGUAAAGAGGAUCACAAGUGCCCUUCAAUAUAAGAUGAGCAUUGUU